AGCACUUUCAUGUAUUUUUGUUUAACUUGUGGCCAAAACUUAGGUGCAAAAGUAAAUCUACACAACUCACAACUUGCUGUUCAAUAUGGGUUUUGAUACAUGUGAGAAGGGCUAUU
ensembl:snoRNA